rnacentral:tRNA from 1 species
GGGAAGAUGGCUCAGUGGUAGAGUGCUUGCCUUGCAUGCAUGAGGCCCUGGGUUCGAUUCC